AGAGUUUGAUCAUGGCUCAGAUUGAACGCUGGCGGCAGGCCUAACACAUGCAAGUCGAGCGGUAGCACAGAGAGCUUGCUCUCGGGUGACGAGCGGCGGACGGGUGAGUAAUGUCUGGGAAACUGCCUGAUGGAGGGGGAUAACUACUGGAAACGGUAGCUAAUACCGCAUAACGUCGCAAGACCAAAGUGGGGGACCUUCGGGCCUCAUGCCAUCAGAUGUGCCCAGAUGGGAUUAGCUAGUAGGUGGGGUAAUGGCUCACCUAGGCGACGAUCCCUAGCUGGUCUGAGAGGAUGACCAGCCACACUGGAACUGAGACACGGUCCAGACUCCUACGGGAGGCAGCAGUGGGGAAUAUUGCACAAUGGGCGCAAGCCUGAUGCAGCCAUGCCGCGUGUAUGAAGAAGGCCUUCGGGUUGUAAAGUACUUUCAGCGAGGAGGAAGGCGUUAAGGUUAAUAACCUUGGCGAUUGACGUUACUCGCAGAAGAAGCACCGGCUAACUCCGUGCCAGCAGCCGCGGUAAUACGGAGGGUGCAAGCGUUAAUCGGAAUUACUGGGCGUAAAGCGCACGCAGGCGGUCUGUCAAGUCGGAUGUGAAAUCCCCGGGCUCAACCUGGGAACUGCAUUCGAAACUGGCAGGCUAGAGUCUUGUAGAGGGGGGUAGAAUUCCAGGUGUAGCGGUGAAAUGCGUAGAGAUCUGGAGGAAUACCGGUGGCGAAGGCGGCCCCCUGGACAAAGACUGACGCUCAGGUGCGAAAGCGUGGGGAGCAAACAGGAUUAGAUACCCUGGUAGUCCACGCCGUAAACGAUGUCGACUUGGAGGUUGUGCCCUUGAGGCGUGGCUUCCGGAGCUAACGCGUUAAGUCGACCGCCUGGGGAGUACGGCCGCAAGGUUAAAACUCAAAUGAAUUGACGGGGCCCGCACAAGCGGUGGAGCAUGUGGUUUAAUUCGAUGCAACGCGAAGAACCUUACCUACUCUUGACAUCCAGAGAACUUAGCAGAGAUGCUUUGGUGCCUUCGGGAACUCUGAGACAGGUGCUGCAUGGCUGUCGUCAGCUCGUGUUGUGAAAUGUUGGGUUAAGUCCCGCAACGAGCGCAACCCUUAUCCUUUGUUGCCAGCGGUCCGGCCGGGAACUCAAAGGAGACUGCCAGUGAUAAACUGGAGGAAGGUGGGGAUGACGUCAAGUCAUCAUGGCCCUUACGAGUAGGGCUACACACGUGCUACAAUGGCAUAUACAAAGAGAAGCGACCUCGCGAGAGCAAGCGGACCUCAUAAAGUAUGUCGUAGUCCGGAUUGGAGUCUGCAACUCGACUCCAUGAAGUCGGAAUCGCUAGUAAUCGUAGAUCAGAAUGCUACGGUGAAUACGUUCCCGGGCCUUGUACACACCGCCCGUCACACCAUGGGAGUGGGUUGCAAAAGAAGUAGGUAGCUUAACCUUCGGGAGGGCGCUUACCACUUUGUGAUUCAUGACUGGGGUGAAGUCGUAACAAGGUAACCGUAGGGGAACCUGCGGUUGGAUCACCU
rnacentral:rRNA from 1 species